rnacentral:rRNA from 1 species
GACGAACGCUGGCGGCGUGCUUAACACAUGCAAGUCGAACGGAAAGGCCCUGCUUUUGUGGGGUGCUCGAGUGGCGAACGGGUGAGUAACACGUGAGUAACCUGCCCUUGACUUUGGGAUAACUUCAGGAAACUGGGGCUAAUACCGGAUAGGAGCCCCUGCUGCAUGGUGGGGGUUGGAAAGUUUCGGCGGUUGGGGAUGGACUCGCGGCUUAUCAGCUUGUUGGUGGGGUAGUGGCUUACCAAGGCUUUGACGGGUAGCCGGCCUGAGAGGGUGACCGGGCACAUUGGGACUGAGAUACGGCCAAGACUCAUACGGGAGGCAGCAGUGGGGAAUAUUGCACAAUGGGCGGAAGCCUGAUGCAGCAACGCCGCGUGCGGGAUGACGACCUACGGGUUGUAAACCGAUUUCGCCUGUGACGAAGCGUGAGUGACGGUAAUGGGUAAAGAAGCACCGGCUAACUACGUG